rnacentral:rRNA from 1 species
UCAACUGAUUUGAAGAGCUUGCUCAGAUAUGACGAUGGACAUUGCAAAGAGUGGCGAACGGGUGAGUAACACGUGGGAAACCUACCUCUUAGCAGGGGAUAACAUUUGGAAACAGAUGCUAAUACCGUAUAACAAUGACAACCGCAUGGUUGUUAUUUAAAAGAUGGUUCUGCUAUCACUAAGAGAUGGUCCCGCGGUGCAUUAGCUAGUUGGUAAGGUAAUGGCUUACCAAGGCGAUGAUGCAUAUCCGAGUUGAGAGACUGAUCGGCCACAAUGGGACUGAGACACGGCCCAUACUCCUACUGGAGGCAAGGUCUGGAAUC